AGUGAACGCUGGCGGUAGGCCUAACACAUGCAAGUCGAACGGCAGCACAGUAAGAGCUUGCUCUUACGGGUGGCGAGUGGCGGACGGGUGAGGAAUACAUCGGAAUCUACUUUUUCGUGGGGGAUAACGUAGGGAAACUUACGCUAAUACCGCAUACGACCUACGGGUGAAAGCAGGGGAUCUUCGGACCUUGCGCGAUUGAAUGAGCCGAUGUCGGAUUAGCUAGUUGGCGGGGUAAAGGCCCACCAAGGCGACGAUCCGUAGCCGGUCUGAGAGGAUGAUCAGCCACACUGGAACUGAGACACGGUCCAGACUCCUACGAGAGGCAGCAGUGGGGAAUAUUGGACAAUGGGCGCAAGCCUGAUCCAGCCAUACCGCGUGGGUGAAGAAGGCCUUCGGGUUGUAAAGCCCUUUUGUUGGGAAAGAAAAGCAGCAGGUUAAUACCCCGCUGUUCUGACGGUACCCAAAGAAUAAGCACCGGCUAACUUCGUG
rnacentral:rRNA from 1 species